rnacentral:rRNA from 1 species
UACGUAGGGGGCGAGCGUUGUCCGGAGUUACUGGGCGUAAAGGGCAUGCAGGCGGUCGGACGCGUUUCGGGUGACAGCGGGUGGCUUAACUACCCGAGUGGUCGAAAGACGGUUUGACUUGAGGACGCGAGAGGGACACGGAAUUCCGGGUGGAGUGGUGAAAUGCGUAGAGAUCCGGAGGAACACCGAAGGCGAAGGCAGUGUCCUGGCGCGUGACUGACGCUGAGGUGCGAAAGCCAGGGGAGCGAACGGG